CCUACGGGUGGCUGCAGUAAGGAAUAUUGGUCAAUGGACGAAAGUCUGAACCAGCCAUGCCGCGUGGAGGAUGAAGGUCCUCUGGAUUGUAAACUUCUUUUAUAUGGGACGAAAAAAGGGUUUUCUAACUCGUCUGACGGUACCAUAUGAAUAAGCACCGGCUAACUCCGUGCCAGCAGCCGCGGUAAUACGGAGGGUGCAAGCGUUAUCCGGAUUCACUGGGUUUAAAGGGUGCGUAGGUGGGUUGGUAAGUCAGUGGUGAAAUCUCCGAGCUU
rnacentral:rRNA from 1 species